rnacentral:rRNA from 1 species
AUUGAACGCUGGCGGCAUGCCUUACACAUGCAAGUCGAACGGUAACAGGUUAAGCUGACGAGUGGCGAACGGGUGAGUAAUGUAUCGGAACGUGCCCAGUCGUGGGGGAUAACUACUCGAAAGAGUGGCUAAUACCGCAUACGACCUGAGGGUGAAAGCGGGGGACCGUAAGGCCUCGCGCGAUGGGAGCGGCCGAUAUCAGAUUAGCUAGUUGGUGGGGUAAAAGCCCACCAAGGCGACGAUCUGUAGCUGGUCUGAGAGGACGACCAGCCACACUGGGACUGAGACACGGCCCAGACUCCUACGGGAGGCAGCAGUGGGGAAUUUUGGACAAUGGACGCAAGUCUGAUCCAGCCAUGCCGCGUGCGGGGAGAAGGCCUUCGGGUUGUAAACCGCUUUUGUCAGGGAAGAAACGAGUUUCUCUAAUACAGAGACUUAAUGACGGUACCUGAAGAAUAAGCACCGGCUAACUACGUGCCAGCAGCCGCAGUAAUAC